UUCAAUACCAAUUUAUUUCUAAAUUAUAACUAAAAAAGUUUAUUUUCUACUAUUUAUUUUACGAAAUUUAAGUCUUUUAACUGAAGUGUUGAGUCUUAUAACUAAUUUUUUUUUAAUGUAUUUUGAUAUGUCCGGACCAUUCAGAUUUUGAAUCUAAUAAGCGGCGUCUACUGUAUAUAAAAAAUAUAAUAAUAAUAAUAUCUUUCAACCUGUACGAUAGUCCGUGGCACCAGUUCUUAAGACAAAUCCACAGAUAUCUGUGGACCACAAAUUGGUGUCAACAUUCAAUAACCAUAAGAGUUAAACACAUAGGUAAAACAUUAGAUUUAAUUAAGCUGAAGUCUGAAAUAUUUAAUUAUUUAGAUUAUUCAAUAAGGAACCUUGCAAAAUGCAAACAGACAACGCUGUAUCCAUUAUCUACACACCCUCACAGGUCACAGCACCAUCCAUGGCCACAUGGUAGAAAAAUGUUUUCUGUGACAACCUCUUUAUGAUUUUCUAGACAAACAAAACAUCGAUUUUGGUCUUCAUCUACACAAUAAAACAAAAAAUUACAGAAUUAAUGAAAAAAAAAUCACCCCAAAAAGUCCAAACCGGUGGAUGUUGAUUGUUGGCCAAUAGAGAUUUUCAACAUACUAUAAAACUCUCAAUAAAAUUAUUGGUCCGAAUAUUCAGUCCAAAAAACGGAAAAUCCAUCUGGAUGAAUAAUAUCCAACCAGAAAUUCUAGCCAAUUCUUGUAUAGCCACGAAACCUCCAACAUUGUGGAAAUCGUUUGGGAGGUCUGGACUUAUUUCUGAUGGCAAAUGAGGAUAUAAUAUACAGACCUGACUAAAAUAAAACCAACAUCCAAUCAGUCUGCAUUCGGGUAAAACUCUUUACUGCAUUGUGCAUUGCGGUUUAAAGUCAGUAACAAUUGGUAGAUUUUCCCAAUCAAAAAUAGUGAAUGACACCUUCGUCUUAAGCGCAUAAAUAUACUUGGGAUUAUGAAAAAAAAAUUCUAAAAUACCAUUUUAAGUUAUUAAAAUUAUUGUGUAAAUCAAACUACUUUUACACGUACAACAUAGGCAGCUGCAGCUCAGUCGUCAGCUCUAUGACGUCACACGGCUAUUCAUCAACUCUCAUAGUCACAUUAUCUCGUUGAAUAAUCGUUUAUUUUAAUUCGGAUUUUUACCAAAACGUUUUUCAUUGUGUUGAGUAAUGAGUACUUGAGUGUUGACCAUGAUUAAAGAUACUAUCGUGGUGUUGACUAGAAUAAUACACCAAUUAACUUAGAAUUAAAAAAAAAAAAACUAAAGUUGUGAUGUCCUUUAAUGCUGCUAAAAAAUGACCAAUCUCUAUAUAGUCUAUAUAAUGACCUGGCCCAUGGUUAUUGUGGCUGGUACAUAAUAAAUAAUAAUUGGAUCAUUCUCGACAUGGAUGCAGUCGAUCCACAACACUGUUCGUAUUUUGAACAUCUUAACUGCCUAGAGCCAUAAUAUUUUAAUUUAUAAUUUUUUAUGUACAUUUAUUAUUUUAUUUAAAUUAACCUUUGAUUGGUGGAUACAUGAUUUUGAACAUAAGUAUAAUCUUAUAAUCUUGUAUAUUUACAUAUUACCUAUAUUAAAUUGCCUCUAAUACCUGGAAUUCUUUUAGAUUGCAAGUUAUUAUCUUCAACAUUUCCCAAAACAUGAGCAAUGUUAAACACAAUUGGAGAUCGAGAUGUAGAACAUGGUGUUGGAUCAUUUUGU